GACGAACGCUGGCGGCGUGCUUAACACAUGCAAGUCGAACGGAAAGGCCCUGCUUGCAGGGUACUCGAGUGGCGAACGGGUGAGUAACACGUGGGUGAUCUGCCCUGCACUUCGGGAUAAGCCUGGGAAACUGGGUCUAAUACCGGAUAGGAGCCAUUUUUAGUGUGAUGGUUGGAAAGUUUUUUCGGUGUAGGAUGAGCUCGCGGCCUAUCAGCUUGUUGGUGGGGUAAUGGCCUACCAAGGCGGCGACGGGUAGCCGGCCUGAGAGGGUGGACGGCCACAUUGGGACUGAGAUACGGCCCAGACGCCUACGGGAGGCAGCAGUGGGGAAUAUUGCACAAUGGGCGCAAGCCUGAUGCAGCGACGCCGCGUGGGGGAGGACGGCCUUCGGGUUGUAAACUCCUUUCGCUAGGGACGAAGCUUUUUGUGACGGUACCUAGAGAAGAAGCACCGGCUAACUACGUG
rnacentral:rRNA from 1 species